rnacentral:tRNA from 2 species
CCACCAUUGGUGUAAUGGCUAACACUCCUGCCUUCCAAGCAGAUGAUGAGGGUUCAAUUCCCUCAUGGUGGUCCA